rnacentral:rRNA from 1 species
GAUAAUAUUACUUAAAUUUGUCGGAUACAGUUAAAUUUAAAAUGAAGGCUUGAAGUUAGGGUUUAUUAGGUGAAAUUAGUAUGCUUUAAAGUGAGCCGGUUUUUGUUUGUGAGGCUGAGAAAUUUAAUAUUUAAACUAGGAUUAGAUACCCUAUUAUUUUAAACGUGAAGUUAUUUUCUGACCAGUAUUAGUUAUUUUCUUCAAAAUUAAAGAUUUUGGCGGUAUUUUAGUCUGUUCAGAGGAACCUGUCCUGUAAUUGAUGAUCCACGAUUUAAUAUACUUUUUCUUUUGUUUUCAUAUCGUCGUAGUUUGAAAAUUUUAUUAGAAUUAAAAUUUUCAUGAUUUUUUUAAAAAAAGGAAAUCAGAUCAAGGUGUAGCUAAUGGGAAAGGAUGUGAUGGGUUACAUUGAAUUUAUUUAGGAAUUUUAGCUUGUGAAGUUAAAUGAAUUUGGAUUUGAUAGUAAUAUUAAUUAGAUUAUUAAUAUGAUUUAAGCUCUAGAAUAUGCACAUAUCGCCCGUCGCUUUCACUCUAAAGUGGAAUAAGUCGUAACAAAGUAGGCUUAUCGGAAGAUGCGCCUGGAAUGGCAGGCUAGAGCUUGUUAUAAAGCAUUUUAGUUACAUUAAAAAGUUAGUUGUGAAAAUCAAUUUGGCUUGAAGCGUUUAUCGUUACUUUAUAAUUUUUUUUAUAUUAUUUUAUAAUAAGAAUAUUAUUUUUUAUUAUUAGCUAAGAAAGAAUUAUUUUUAGUUAUAGGUUAUUAGUACCGUGAGGGAACUGAUAAAAUGCAUUUCAAAGAAAGAUUAAUUUUCU